UUCUAUUAGUUAUAAUUAAUAGUAAUAUCUGCUCAAUGAUAUUAAAUAGCCGCAGAUUAUCUGUGCUAAGGUAGCAUAAUCAUUCGUUUUUUAAUUGAAAACCAGAACAAAAGAUCAAACAUUUUAAUAAAUUUCUUAAAUUUUAAAUUUUUAAACUUAUCAUAAAUGUAAAAAGACUUUUAUAAAAAAGAAAGACGACAAGACCCUAUCGAACUUAACUUUAGUUAAACUGGGGCAGUGAAUUAAAAAAUAUUUUAAUUAAUAUUAAAUAUUAAAAACCUAAUAUAAUUAAAUAAAUCAAGUUACCGUAGGGAUAACAGCGUAAUAUUUAUUUUAAGUUCUUAUUUAAAUAAAUGAUUGCGACCUCGAUGUUGAAUAAUUACCUACAUAAAUAUGCAAAAAUAAUGAAAGGAAGUCUGUUCGACUUAUAAAUAAUUACA
rnacentral:rRNA from 1 species